rnacentral:rRNA from 1 species
AGUGAACGCUGGCGGUAGGCCUAACACAUGCAAGUCGAACGGCAGCACAGUAAGAGCUUGCUCUUACGGGUGGCGAGUGGCGGACGGGUGAGGAAUACGUCGGAAUCUACUUUUUCGUGGGGGAUAACGUAGGGAAACUUACGCUAAUACCGCAUACGACCUACGGGUGAUAGCAGGGGAUCUUCGGACCUUGCGCGAUUGAAUGAGCCGAUGUCGGAUUAGCUAGUUGGCGGGGUAAAGGCCCACCAAGGCGACGAUCCGUAGCUGGUCUGAGAGGAUGAUCAGCCACACUGGAACUGAGACACGGUCCAGACUCCUACGGGAGGCAGCAGUGGGGAAUAUUGGACAAUGGGCGCAAGCCUGAUCCAGCCAUACCGCGUGGGUGAAGAAGGCCUUCGGGUUGUAAAGCCCUUUUGUUGGGAAAGAAAAGCAGCAGGUUAAUACCCCGCUGUUCUGACGGUACCCAAAGAAUAAGCACCGGCUAACUUCGUG